rnacentral:misc_RNA from 1 species
GCCCUCCAAGCCUUUAGAAUGAAGAUCCAGAAGGGUGACUCUUUUGUGCCUGCGACCACAGAUGACACCUACCCAAUUGCAGAAAUGGACAGAACCAUUCCAUGAACUCGUGGCAUUUUGGGGAUCAUGCACAAUCUUUGCCUUGAAUUUUAACAAAGCAAGAUAAUCUGUCUCAUUCCCACCACCGGUUGUAGCAGCGUUAGUGGAGGGAACUUCGAAGUUCAGCCACAUAAGGAGCAAGAGGACAAUGCAUUUCACAGAAAAUGG